GCCCCCAUAGUUUAAUGGACAAAACGUGAGCUUCCGGAGCUCGAGAUCGGGGUUCGAUUCCUCGUGGGGGCACCA
rnacentral:tRNA from 1 species